CAGAGAUCAAAGGAGGAGAGGAUGAAUAUUUCCAUUACGCAAAUGAUACAAAGAGAUAAAGUUCCCAAAUGUUAUUAUGGUAUGUACGCAUAGGAGAGUUUUGGGGAAGAAAGAACAGACUCCCGAUUUAAAAUUUAGACAACACCUUUGUCGACCAGACUCUGCAUUUCAAAACACGGUAGUCAGACUGGAGUUGGUGACAAUGGAACAUUUUGUGAUGGAAAUCUUGAAUUUAUGGCCCGAAAGUCUGUACAUCCCAGUAACCGGGUAAACGGAGAAAUUUUCGAGGAACCUCCAUUGACCGACUUGCAAAUUCUUAACACGAACAAGGAAGAUCUUCUUACAGCAAACAAAUUAUGGACUAAAUAGACGGCUUUUACGGAGGUUGGUGAGAUUUUGUGCGCAGAAAGAAAAGACGUGGGAAGCAAGUAUCGAUUUUAAAAAACGUGGGCUUACGUUUGAGAUUUUGUAAAUGGGCCACGUGAUUUAUAAAUUAUGGUUAAAGGGUUAUGUUUUAGAAAUUACUAAAAUGACUCUAAUUAUACAUGUUUCCAAACACAUUUCAUUAAGAAUACUAUUCAAGUUUCCAAACAAUCUCAUUUUGUACUUGAGUUUUAAUAAGAUAUACUAGAUUUUGACCCGCGCUUUCAAAGCGUAGGUUUAUUUUUGUUUU